AUAUGAAUCAAUGAAUCAAUAUGCACUUAUUAAUAUAUAAUUAUUAUAUUGAUUUGUAAUCAACAGGAUGGACUCAGGAUCCAGAUAAAAUUAUAAGACGGAAUCACUUCUCGGAUGGCCUUAUUCUGUCUCCCAGAUAUCUUGUCACUUGAAAGGACCUCUGACCUCGUCACCAUGGAGGAAGGAGUCAUUCUACAGUAGAGCCUAUGAGAGAACAGAAGGCAAAUCCUUACAAAGAUGUGACGCUCUUCUUUUAUCCUCAGGAAAGGGUCUUCUCCACACUCUUCAAUGCACUGGCACAAGUACAUGAUUCUGGACCCACACGGACAUCCAGAAGCAUCGCUGAAGAAAAGACAAAGAGAAGGAAAACACCAGAAGUACUGGUCACCUCUGCUGAGCCUCCCUUGAGUACUAUGCUUCUCUUUUCCCUGCUUCCUUCUGUUGCUUGUCACCCUGUGUGGUCUCAUUUGACCCUUAAACACUGUUGUGUUAUAUAAUUCACUCUUGAGAGUUCGACCCAUCUAUGCAGGAAAAAGCAAGUAGAUAAAGAUUGCUUAUUGUUCAUAUUAUGAAGUACAGUGAAGUGGAAGCCUAUGAGUUAUUCAGCUCAAUACAAAUAUUUUGGAUGGGUGCUUGAAAUGGUCAAUUCAUUGGAUCCAGACCUAAACAGGAGAAGAAUUGUCUAAAAUACCUCUGGGAAAUAGCAAUGUUUUUUUAACGAACUCAAAUUUCUUCAUGAUCGAUAUUCUUCUAGAGAGAGAGUGUAGUUGCAAAUCACAGAAUAACAUAGUCUCUAAAGAAUUGACAUUGAGAAUCUCACAAUAGUCAAUGGAAAGGUUCGUGGUGUAUGUGUCCAAGCUACAGCACAUUUAAAGCAAGGAAUUAGAAAGGAGGAGAGGAAAGGACAUCAUCGAAGAAAUGUAUGCGAGAAAAAGAGGAUGGAUGGGUGAUGAUAAUCAAAGGACAGCCCACUUGUUCCCUUGGUAUCCUCAAGAAAACAAGGGAGACUCUUGCUAUUUGGGGAGGAUACUCUGUGGUGAACUUUUGGUAGGAAAUGGGUAAGACACCACAGACAAGAUGAGAAGGCCCAGAUGGUUACAGUCUCCAUCACUUAUCAAUGGGAUCACAGAGCCAUUUGAGUACUUUAAUGUACUGAAAAAUGAUCCAGUGAAAAUCAGUUACUUCCUAAUUCUUAAUUCUCCUGGGACUUGCAUAGCUUCAUUGAUAGAAUUUCAAGAAUGGAUGGAGAAAAUAUUUAGUUACACCUAAUUUUUUUUUCAAAGCACCAUUUUUUUUCUAGUGCUUUAAGUAUUGUGAACAACAAUUAAAAAAUCUUUUUCAUGCUCCUUUAGUUACUCUCAUAGCUUAUUUAAUUAAGCUUUGAAGGAUUGUUACUUCUUGUAAGAUACUAUUACUUAAUGACUCUGUGUGUGUGUGUGUGUGUGUGUGUGUGUGUAUGAAGAAGAAAAUGACAAACCACUCCAAUAUCUUUACCUA
rnacentral:lncRNA from 1 species